rnacentral:rRNA from 1 species
GACGAACGCUGGCGGCGUGCUUAACACAUGCAAGUCGAACGGAAAGGCCCUGCUUUUGUGGGGUGCUCGAGUGGCGAACGGGUGAGUAACACGUGAGUAACCUGCCCUUGACUUUGGGAUAACUUCAGGAAACUGGGGCUAAUACCGGAUAGGAGCUACUGCUGCAUGGUGGGGGUUGGUAAGUUUCGGCGGUUGGGGAUGGUCUCGCGGCUUAUCCGCUUGUUGGUGAGGUAGUGGCUUACCAAGGCUUUGACGGGUAGCCGGCCUGAGAGGGUGACCGGGGACAAUGGGACUAAGAGACGGCCCAGAAUGCAACGGGAGGCAGCAGUGGGGAAUAUUGCACAAUGGGCGGAAGCCAGAUGCAGCAACGCCGGGUGCGGGAUGACGGCCUUCGGGUGAUAAACCGCUUUCGCCGGUGACGAAGCGUGAGUGACGGUAAUGAGUAAAGAAGCACCGGCUAACUACGUG